AAUUAUACAACCCUGUGGCGAUGGUGGCGCAAACUCCAACUAGGACUCAAAAUUUCUGGACACUUCCUAAAUGACAUUCUAGUUUUUAUUUGCAUUUCGUGUGUAGUAGUCAUAAGAUCAAAAGAAUUAUAAUUAUAAACAUGUAAAUUGUAAAUUAAAACAAUUAAAAUGUGGAAAAAGGAAUAACAUGUGGAAUAAUUUUAAAAUCCAAACCAAGCGUUUGACGUUCUAGUGGGAUUUGAAAACAUCUUUGGAGUUGGACAAUAUCAUCAGCUGGGCAGAAUCCGCAAUUACUUUUUGGGCAACCCAAUAUGUGGAUUUCAUAGUAUUCAACGCAAAAUGCUAAGAUUGGCGGUGUAACCGACAACGAAGAGAGGCUCAAAAUGGAAUCGAAAAUGUUUCUUUUUAGAAGCCUGUAGUGGUAUUCAGUAAAGUUUUAACCAUGCUUUUUAACCAUGCUAUUGACUUAACUUUCUAUAAAUUUGUCUAGGCAGUACAGGACUUCUCAAUGAUGACCAAGCAUUUCGAUUUCGGUGGAUUCAACAACAAAACAGCUGUAACCCACUUAUUCACUUUAUAAAGAUCGUCAUUAAGUUUCUCAAAACAAUUUGGUAUUAGGUCUAUUCGGGUACUUUUCUAGUAAAAAUUUGCAGGAGAGAAUAAGAAUUUAGCUCUUUCGCACUCGCGCUCUCCUUUGCUAGCAAAUAAAGUACGCGAACGAUUUCCAGUAACAAUCUGUGCAAAUUUCCACAAAUUGUAGAGUACACGUACAUACUUAUUAUCGAUAGAAUCGUUGCGAUAGAUUUUAACGUCAAAGAGAGCAUGAAUAAAAUUCAGUUCGGUGCAAUCUAUUGGUGCCGUAUAUUUGAAGAAACUAAACAGAAUUACCAACAUCAACAAAAAUAGAUAGAUAGUCAAACUGGAUCGUAUGGUAUUUAUCUUUUUUGUGACAAGCUGUCGGUCCUUUGAAUAUAGCAGAAUAAAAAAAAGUUAAAUGAG